UAUUGGGCAAUGGGCGCAAGCCUGACCCAGCGACGCCGCGUGAGGGAUGAAGGUCUUCGGAUUGUAAACCUCUUUCAGUAGGGAAGAAGCGAAAGUGACGGUACCUAAAGAAGAAGCACCGGCUAACUAUGUGCCAGCAGCCGCGGUAAUACAUAGGGUGCAAGCGUUGUCCGGAAUUAUUGGGCGUAAAGAGCUCGUAGGUUGUUUGUCGCGUCGAUUGUGAAAAUCUGAGGCUCAACCUCAGACCUGCAGUCGAUACGGGCAAACUAGAGUGUGGUAGGGGAGACUGGAAUUCCUGGUGUAGCGGUGGAACGCGCAGAUAUCAGGAGGAACACCAAUGGCGAAGGCAGGUCUCUGGGCCAUAACUGACACUGAGGAGCGAAAGUGCGGGGAGCGAACAGG
rnacentral:rRNA from 1 species